UUGAAAGGGAAACGAUUGAAGUCAGUCGUGCGGUCACCGACUCAACGGCUAUGGAGGUGCUUGACACGAAAGUGUUAAGAAUCGACAUAGCCGUGUAUUUUGGUGUCUGCUGGUCAGCAUCAAUUUCGAUUGUCAUAAAAAGGUCGAGGGGAUGUGGCUCCUUCGGGAGUGUUAUAACCCUUGGCGGAAUGUGGCGAUCGGGAUUGAGGUUUGCACGAUGACGGUUUCCUGGCCUCUCAUCGACGUCCGAAUGAUGGAAGCUUGCUGAAGUUGUUUGGACGUUGGCGAAAAGGUUGGAGCGACCUCAUCGUUAAGGAUGUUGACGUA
rnacentral:rRNA from 1 species